AAUGAUGUUUUCCUGUGUUAUAUUCCAUUAAAAGGGGCAUUAAAUUUGUUCAAUUACAUCAGUUCGCUUCUCGUUGAGUCCCCUCGGAUUUUGGCAUGCAGUGAACUCUAAAGCAUUUAUCGUGUUCCACUUUCCUUGCAUGCACGUGCUUGGGUUGUUGGGCCAUGGUCCUUGCUCGAUCUCUCGGUUGCGGAAUACCUUGUGGGCACGAGGCCACUAGGCUUCUAUUCGGCCCUUACCGAGCGUUUAACGCUACGUUCAAACGACGGUUGUGGUCGUCUUGACUAGGUCUUUAUGGCUUAGCUCAUACGAUCCCAACGUCGAUGAGGAAUG
rnacentral:misc_RNA from 1 species